CAGGAACGUUUCCAUGGCCUGGCUCCCAUGUAUUACCGCGGUGCAGCUAUAGCUAUUAAUUGGUCUAUGAUAUCACAAGCAUGGAGUCAUUUGUUUUUAGCGAGCUAAGAAGUGGGUUUUUGAAUUGCAAAGACAAGCAAAUCCAACUUUAAUAAUGUUCUUGGCUGGAAACAAGGCUGACUUGGAAGAGAAGAGAAAAGUAGGGACUGAGAAAAGUAGUCCUCACUUAGGAAGCAGAUAUCUAUCAGCCUAUCAGGGCAUAAAUGGUUAGGAAGUAGAAACGAUACGUAGUCUGCAGAAGGCAAGCAGAAAACAAGUAGUGAAGUCUUUGACCAUUGCGCAAUAGAUACACUGCUGAAUUCUCAUGGGACAAGUACACUCUUCAUGAAGGACCUUUUGAGGAGGUCGGAGCAAUGUGUUGAAACUUUUA